CGAAAAGGUAGGUAACUGUUUCUUCAAGGGCUUGCUCAUGUUUAUUCCAUUCUAGGUGACUCACAAGCAGUAUCCUGGGAAGUAGGCUUGGAGUUCACGGUCUUGCGGCUUGCAGAACUGCUCUACUGAAGCCAGCAUCAUUCUAGGCCUGCUGAGUAAGCGCAUAAUGGGACGUGAACGUGUGGACAGAUGACCACCCUACAGCUGUCCUGGAUAGGCACUUGGGCUAGGAAAGCUGCCAAAGAGGCCUGCGUCCUGACUGAAUGGACUAUUAUGAUCAGUGGAGGGGAAACUUUUGUCUGAUUGUAGCAGCAGCGAAUGCUGGCAGAGAUCCAAGAAGAAAUUCUUGAACAGACACUGGAUGACCUUUUAUCCUACCAGCCAUUGCGAUGAACAAUUGCACUGACUUGCGGAAUGGCUUGGCCCUUUCAAUGUAGAAGGCCAGUGCCCUCCUGACCUCUAGAGAAUGCAACCUAUACUCCUCUUCUGACUCAUGCGGCUUUGGAAAAAAGACAGGACUGAAUCACUUCAGAAUGUUAUCUUACUGUAAAGCACACUCUCCUUUUGCACUUCUGUCAUCAACAAGCCAAGUAAGGCAGCCAAGUUAAGCUGUGAAUCAGAACUUGCUCUCAUCACUGAGAGCACCAUCUCAAAAAUCCAUAGCUAGUGAAAAAUAUUAAUUAUAAAUCCAGCAGAAGCAAAGGACAAAACACCUACCCCCCAUUCCUCAGCAGCUUCAGGGGUGGCAAAGCUUUGUCUGGGCCAGCAGAAGAAAAAAGAAAACUCUUGGCCUCUUUAAGGAUUGCCCUCCUUUCCCUGUUUCCUCCCAUCCUUCUGGAAACUCAGACUUCUUGUGGACUUGAGGAAUGAGGGUUGUGGCAGACUUGCUAGAUAUGAGAGUAACCAGCAUAAGCCUGUUCUCCAAUGCACCCAAGAGAAGGUCUGAUAAACCCUUCACCCUGUCCGGGGGACUAUUCUGCACUGGGAAGAAAUUCUAAUCCAAAUUGGAGAUGUGAGGGACAAACCAGGUUUUGGGGACUUAUGGGCAUUACCACCUUUUUGGUGCGAGGACAUAAUUUUGUCCCCUCUCACUGCCAGACUGGCCUGGAGAGAGGUUUGUGGGGUAUGUGUUUUUUUGUUUUUGUUCUCAGCAACCCAGGCAUGGUGGGGUACGUUAGAUUAAAUUCAUUUUGUUGCAACAUGGCAGCUACCCAAUGCAGGUAAUUAUUAAAUGCAGAGUCCGGUUCCCUGAUAAAUCAGAAUCAAAGCAGAUUAGGAAAAAGCAACUGCUAAAGGAGAGAAAUGGGUACAACACUGUCUGGUACAGCAAGGAGACAACCCCCAACCAUAACCCCAUGGUUGCAGCCUUCCACCAUGUGGAAUAGAUUACAAAGGAUGAUCUGCACCAGACAAGUUAGUGCUGAGUAGUUCUCAGAUGUGUUACUAAAUAAAACUGUGGCCUAGCUAAACCAUAUUCACAUUGUCUUGUUUUUCUUUCCGUGGCGUCCAGGACCAGGGAAAACUCUGAUAGUUAUAAAAGUAAGGAAUAAGAACCAGUAACCCAGCAUUUAUUAUGCUUGAGCAAACUAAAUGACUAAGGUUAUCCUUACCAACUUCCAGUUGCAAGCUACAACAACUUCAUGUGUAGGAUAUUAGGAGACACACACCCACACUCAAGUAAACUUAAAAAUGAUUGUCUCAAAGUUUCAAGAACCAUCAAAGUUUCUGCAUCCUACCUUCCUCCCCCACACCCGCUCUCUGGCAGAUACCAAAAUGUAUGUGAGAAAAGAAAAAACCCUUUAGCUUUCUUAACUAGCAGCUGCCUCCUGAACAAUCUAUUCAAUGAUGCCAGUGCCCUUUAAGACAUCAAAAUGGAUUUAAUGAUCAUUACUUUUAUAAAAUGGGCCCAACACAAUGGCUACGGGCACAUGCACAAUAGUACAAAAUUAGCUGACUAUCAAACUUAAAUGAAACCUAGAGUGACACUCUCACUUCCCCGAGAUGCCAUAUAAACAGAACUGUAACCCAGAAUGAACUCAGACAAAAGCUGGAGUAAAACAGAUGGUUUUAUACUGUGACUGAAAGUCAAUAAACUUUGGUUUGGUUAUACUAGUGGAAGAACCAAAUUCCAGAGUCAAAGCCCUUCCAUUGAAAAUGCUCUGCAUGCAGACUCUGGAUGUUCAAUUUCAGGAACCAAGAUAACUCAGCCACUAAUCAGUUAUGAGGGUUCCAAGGGAAGUGGUGAAGUUUCUCAUACAGCUAGAACAAAGACUCGGUUUUAAAUAUUAACAUAAAUCCCCUGCAUAGCAUGUGAAACAAAUAAGAAGUCAGUACAGCUUUUGACAUGCUGGUGUAAAAGGCUCCUUGGAAGCAGCUGCAUCCAAUAAUAAGGUGACAGAGGCAUGAACAACCUUGGCAAAGUCCACAUCAAAGAAAAAGUUGCAAUUAUUGCAUCAACUGUAUAAAAAAAGACAGUACUUCUGCUCACCAAGGCUCAUGCCAUGAUCUAUCAGAUUCAAAAAAACUUCCUAAAUUAUUAAUCUGUGAGUAAAUCCCCUCAGUCAGAUAGGUAAGCAUCAUCCCUGCCAUUCUCUUUAGAUGCUUUCUCCAGACAAAAAGCUUCACCUCUGUCUUACUUGUUUCAGUGAGCUCAUUCUCAACCAAACCCUAUUUCAAGUAGGCACUGAGUAAGCAAAAGCACCAUAACAUCCAGAUUUGAGAGAGAAAAAGACUGAGCCAUAUCAAGGUAAACCACCUCCCUUCACAAUGGGUUUAAGAUAGCUCAGUUACAAGUCCCACAGAUUUUAAGGUCAGAAGUGACCUUAAUGAUCAUCUAGUCUGACCUUCAAAGUCACAUCCAACUUGUAAUUAAACAGUGUAAUAGUCUAUAUUUUUGUCAACAUAGGAAUUAGUGACAGCACAGGGUUACUCUCCAUAGGAAAUUAAAAAAAAAAAAAGAGACAUGUCUUUGUAGUUGUUUCUUUGGAAGUACAUUGACAGAGAGGAUUUUGAACAAAGACAAGACAAAAUGUAUUUUGGUCUACAGAGAAGUUUUGAUUCAAUUCUUUAAAGGAAACAGAUUUGCCUGUACAAAAUGCAGCUAGUCACAUUAGAUACAGAUAGCUUUAGUCACUACAAUAGCAACAGGUUAAGAACACACACAGAGAAAGGCCUGCUGUAUAAGCACUGAAAUUUCUCUUUUAAUAGAUAUAUUAUUUGCAAAUGGAGCCAAUAAGAACAUUUUCAACACAAAAAUAAUGCCUACUGUAUAAAGAUAAUACAAGCAGAAAGAUGUUAAAAAUACAGAGAAGACUGAAUAUAAGAUAGUGGGUGGACCAACAUGAAGAGAUUGAAUAUAAACAUAUGCAAACUGAUGUGUGUAGAACUGAUUGUGUAUUUAAAAAUUAAGAGAGAAAAAUGAAACUCCAAAUCUACUGCAGACAGAUUUGGGGUCAGUGGACAAACUGAGCAGGAGAUCAUGUGAGUUGCCAAGGCACUCAUUUGUUUUCUGGGAUGAGGUGGUGCAAGUAUACAGAAGGUUCUCUUAUAUGUAGAGCUCUACAAAAUUCACAGCCAUGAAAGAUGUGUCAUGGAUCAUGAAAUGUGGUCUUGUGUGUGCUUUUACUCUAUACUAUUAUAGAUUUCACAAGGGAUACCAGCACUUCUCAUACUGAGGGCCCUGAUGCAAAAGGGAGUUGCAGGGGGUUUACAAGAUUAUUUUAGGGCUGUCAUAGUAUUGCCACUCUGACUUCUGCUCUGCUGCCU